UACCUCACCCAUUGGCCUAUCUACCAACAGUGCUAGCUUUAAAGGCCUAUUCUUUAAUGUCAACUCAUUUGUCUACAGAAGUAUGAAAAAUACAAUUUUAGAAAGCUAUUUACUCAGUGGAAAAAGCAGACUGGCAUGCACCUAAGAGCAGUACCCUAUGCCAGAACGAAAAAUCUUAAAGGUGUUUUAAAAAGGAGCGAAAGACUGAAUCGUUUAACCAUGUCAUCUCGUGAAACUCUGGGAAACAAUAUGGCUUUGAGUUUCUCUCCCCGUCGUCCUGUUAUCUUCUGUUUUCCAGCGCUCAACUCUCAGAGCUUAUACAGUUUAAAGGAGGUUCUUAACUCAAGGCUUUGUGUCACUUGGAAACAGUGCAUUUGUUGCCGAGGUAACCGGUCUGGUCCGGCGAAACUCUGAAACGGAGACAACCUCUGUUUGGGGCAGGGCGUGGCCAGGCCUGACUUAUCAAUGGUAGAGAGCUGCUUUCGUCCAGAAACCACUCUGGUCUUUUAAAGAGACCUGUAUGUCUCAUUUCCAAGGCUUGCAGUAACCCGAUAUCCUUAUAAUAUGAGCACAUCGAAUAGUUGUGAAAUGGUAGAAUGGAAAAUCUUGUUUCAGUCUCCAUGAAAUGCCAACCUUGUGAUGCACUGAAACAGAAGCUUUGUCACAUGGGACACUUUUAAAGAUGGAAGAAUGUGACAUUCUGGGGACGUGUUCCAAAGGACCGGUCCUAUUAAAGGUCUUGUGAAUAUAAACGGGAUAAAAAACGAAGUAGUCAAACUUUUCAUUGAUUGGGGCAAAACAUAGUGGAACAGUGAACUAAGGCCUACACACUAAUUUGAUCCAACACAAACCUUUAGUUCCUUUUAGUUCACAAUGUUUCACUCCUGAAGAGACCUUGGCCUGACAAAACUUUGUGAAGUCAUAAAGGCAGUAUUUAUUUAUCUUUAUUUAACUAGGCAAGUCAGUUAACAACAAAUUCUUAUUUACAAUGACAGCCUAACGGGGAACCGUGGGUUAACUGCCUUGUUCAGGGGCAGAGCGACAUAUUUUUACCUUGUCAGCUCGGGGAUUCAAUCCAGCAACCUUUCGGUUACUGGGCCAACGCUCUAACCACUAGGCUACCUGCUGCCCCGGUUAGUUAGGCAGACAGUCAUACAGUCAGAUAUGCAGGCAAGCAGACAGGCUGGGAAAGCAGGCAGUCAGUCAGGCAGACAGACAGGCAGUUAGACAGGGAGGGGUUUAAACAGAGACACAUGACCAGGCAUGUUAACACAAGGAUUACAGCAUAAAACACACAGAAUAAAACCUUGGAGGAAAUCAGAGGAAUGUUCCAGAGAAACUACAGGAACUAUUGACCGCGUCAACAGCAUUUACACAUGGAUAUAGUAAAAGAGACAGAUGCAAACAAAACUAGAGCAUUUUAAUAGUCGUCAAUGUAAAAUCUAUACAAUGGCAAAUUCAUCAGAGACUGGUGAUACCAAGGAACUAACAUCAGGCAGAAGCUACAUCGAUGAAAUUGGGAAGAUGGGCAUUCAACAGGGAUGGAGAGAAGAUGGCUACUGGAUGUUCUCUGGACUGGAUCCUGUAUCAGCAGCAGCAGUGGAAGUUCCAUGUUGCAUCUGGCUAUCAUCAAUAUCAUUUAUUAAUAUCAGAAUACAGACCUUUAGACUAAUGUGAGUGUUGUCCAGUGUUCCUCAGCCCCUUCCAGUGGGUUGUUUCCUCAGCCCCUUCUGGACAGG